GGUUGACCUCGGCGGAGGGAGGACU
rnacentral:rRNA from 1 species